AUUGAACGCUGGCGGCAGGCCUAACACAUGCAAGUCGAACGGAAGAAGGGUGCUUGCUUCUGGUUUCAGCGGCGGACGGGGGAGUGAUACCUAGGAAUAUGCCUGGCUGUGUGUGAUAACGACCUCAAGAAGGCGCUACUACCGCAUAAGUCCUGAGGGAGACAGUGGGGGAGCCUCGGACCUCACGCUCUUUGGUGAGCGUAGGUCGGGUUCGCUAGUUGGUGGGUUAAAGGCCUACCAAGGCGAGGAUCCGUGACUGGUGGGAGAGGAUGAUAGGCCACACUGGAAUGGAGACAGGGCCAAGACUCCUACGGGAGGCAGCAGUGGGGAAUAUGGGACAAUGGGCGAAAGCCUUAUACAGCAAGCCCGCGUGUGUGAAGAAGGUGUUCGGAUUGUAAAGCCCUUUUUGUGGGGAAGAAAAGCAGUAGGUUAAUACCUAGCUGUUUUGACGGUACCAAAAAAAGAAGCACCGGCUAACUUCGUG
rnacentral:rRNA from 1 species